rnacentral:rRNA from 1 species
AUUGAACGCUGGCGGCAGGCCUAACACAUGCAAGUCGAGCGGAGCGGCGGACGGGGGCGUAUUGCCUAGGAAUGUGACUGGUAGUGGGGGAUAACGUCCGGAAACGGGCGCUAAAACCGCAUACUAUUAGAUUAAGCUAGGUCGGAUUAGCUAGUUGGUGUGGUAAAGGCUUACCAAGGCGACGAUCCGUAACGGGUCUGAGAGGGUGAUCAUGCACACUGGAACUGAGACACGGUCCAGACUCCUACGGGAGGCAGCAGUGGGGAAUAUUGGACAAUGGGCGAAAGCCUGAUCCAGCCAUGCCGCGUGUGUGAAGAAGGUCUUCGGAUUGUAAAGCACUUUAAGUUGGGAGGCGUUACUAACAGAAUAAGCACCGGCUAACUUCGUGCCAGCAGCCGCGGUAAUAC